AGCUCAGAGCUCCACGCUUUUUCUCCUCCUGCUGAUCCUCUCACUUUUAUUUUUCCACCUGCUGACCCGCAGGUGUUCCUGCUGAGACAUAGACGUGGUGGUGGGCAUGUUUGAAUGCUGGGCUGUGAGGAGGGCAGGGAUCCUCGAGGGACCCCGUGUUUGUCUGUGUGUCUGUCCCAAGAGCCGCGCCCGGAUCCUGGCCCCACACACCACAUGGCUCACCCAAGUGCCUCCCUUUGUUUCAAACUCUUGGAGCCUGGAGCACUUGUUGAACCUGACCACGAGUGCAUCAAAGUGGCUGACAAUUAGGAAAAAAACAAAUAUCAUUUGAGGUGGUUUUGGACGGAAUCCAAUCAUACAUAGAUGGGCUCGUUGCUGUUGUUAUCAUUUUGAAUAUUCCUCAUAGUUGGGAUAUUUGCGCUGUGCAGCGGCGUCCCCGGCACAGCAAACAUUGCGUUAUCUCUCUGUGCAAAGGCUCCAUUAAUCACACCAGACAAUGGGCCAGACACAUCCCUUUGAGCCUGGUGCUGGGAUCCUCCGGGCUUUUCACCUUGUCCAAACGCUUCAUCCCUGUCAAUGCAGGCAGCAUCUCUUCAAAACCAAGGGCUCUGAACUGUGGGACUGACAGGAAAAUGUCUAAUUCAGUUAAAAGAAUUCCCCAGUUAUUUUAUAUUUUCCCUUUGAUUUUUCAUGGCUUGUAGAAGCUAAACUUUUUCAGUCUUUCCGUCUGUACAUGAGAUCAAUCCAGUAAUUUGUUAAAACACUAAUGAAAUUGCCUGAUAGAUCUGUGUCCUUUAAAGCAGCAGCAGCAGUGGCAAGCACUGAGAUUGAGCAGGAUGGAGUGGCCUGGCCAAGCCGUGGCCCCGCUGGCAGGAGCUGCAGAGUGGACAGCAGAGGGAACACAGCUUGGUGGUGAAGGUGCUGUUCUCCUGAAAGAGGAUCCUGGCAAAAACAUGGCUUGGUGCCGGGGACAACACGCUGAAGGCGAGACAGCGGCAGACACUUGAAUGGAGGCUCCUCGUGUUUGCAGCCUGGUCACACGAGUGACUGAGACCCGAAAUCUCCCUGACAUCCUCUCUGGAUGCUUUGCCUUGGAACAGCCUCAUUCAUGCCACACCUGCUCCCUUCCGUUUGUGGAGCCUUCUAUGCUGCACUGGACACUGGAAAAGCACUUGGAGAUGGCUGGAGAAGGAAGGGGACAUCCUGGAAAAUGGUCUCUAAACCAGGCCCUUCCCUGUGCCAUGACUUUUCUGGGGCUCAUUAAUAUCAGUGGUUCCUGCUGGAAGAACUCUGUCACCUUCCCUGAGGCAGCAGAGCUGAGGCCAGACGUGGUGUGCGCUGCUUGUGCAUCAGACAUGAGUAAUAACAAGUUUGGAGGAACUGUACCACUUAAUAAAAGCAUUUUAUUACAUUUAAAUGUAUUAAAAUGUGAACAUUAAAUUCAACACGCUAAUUACCGCUCCCAGGCAUUGCCGCUGACAGGAAAUGGAUCCUCACAAUUGCUCUGCUGAGAUCACUCACUGCUGUUACUGCUCUUUGGUUCCUGGUGUGUUAUUAGUGCUCUGCAUUUGGGACUUGAGUCAUUAACAAAAAGGACUGGGGUUGGGCAUUAUGUAAAUUCUGUAUGUUUUCACACAGCUACCGGGGCCUGUGUUAUGUGUCUCAUUGACAAAAAGAAAAGCAAAUGCAUUUGGCUCUGCCCUGGCUUGUGGGCAAGGGAUCUCAGGGGUCACCCAGGCACAGAGAGGGAAAACCUCUUCAUAACACAUCUCUGUGUUUCUGCAAAUCCCUUUCCAGGGCAAUUUGUGUCCCCCCCACCCCACUUGCUGCAUGUGCCAUGACACCCUGCAACGAACACCAACAAUUCCUGCUCUGAAGGAGUUUCCCACUUUCCUGGGAGCCAGGAGCUUCCCAUUCCUGCAGCAGGCAUGCGCAGCACAUGGAUCCAUUGCCCUGGAAAACUGGGAAAGCCUGCCAGGGGUCUCUGGUAGGUGAGAGGCCUGUGGCCAAGUGCUCAGCUCCGUGAGGCCAAGCCCACAUGUUCUGGGAUAUGGUUACUUCCCAGAGGAAAGGGGGAUGCUAGAGGACACGUGGCUGCCUCCCUAAAUGAAAAAGAGUGUAAAGCUGUUCAGAUUAGUGCACAUCAAUCCCUGCACUGGAAUCAAGAGAUGCUUUGGUUUGGCAGCACUGGGGACAAAGCCACCAUUUCGUUCAAAGUGUACUUAAUGCGACAGAAGGAGGCAGCUUCCUUUGACAGUUUUACAGCUCUUAUCAGAUUACAUCAAAAUUAAAUUAAAACAAUCUAAAAGAAGUGUGAAGUACUGCAGGGAGAACACAAAUAAAACACUCCUCUUUGUAGGCUUUCAGGGAAGGGACCACAUUCCUUAUCAGGGAUGGGAGGAUGGAGAUUAUUCUUGAGUCAGUUACGAGCCCAGGGGCUGCGGUGAGCACUGAGACACGGAACAAAGUGGGAAAUACAUUGGGAGACCAGGCUAAGGCUCCUUAUUUUCUUAUUUUUCAUUAAAUAAAUUGCAGGAUGUUGAGCCCUGCUGCAGUAUAACACCCUUAAGCCCCACCCUGAGGUUCAUAGUGAAUCAAAACCUCCCAGGGCUGCCCAGGAGAUAAACUGUGCAGCCCAAUGGGUCAGGGACCAUCAACCCCUUUCCACCAAAUCCUCAAAACUGGAAUAAGGCUUCCCAUUUUUUCAGUUUGGGAAUAAGACUUCCAGUGGGCUCAGGAUUUCAGACAGUGCUGGAAGCGCCUGGAAGUUUUGCACUGUUUUAGGUGUUCUUUUAGCGAGCACAAAUAUUUCUGAAAGCAGAGCCAGAUUUCACCUGUGGGCCCUUGUGAAGGUGUGAGGGAGACCUCCAAAACACAUCUUUGCUUUCAGUAAACAGAAGAAGGGGGGAGAACAGUCUUCAUGACAAGUGCUCUAUAGGGGAAUGCAGUAAUAAAGGGCUCCCAAAUCCUCUGCUGGGCAUUCCUGGAGUGGGAAAGCUCCGACUCAAGCCAGUGUUCUCCAUACUUUGUUGAGCUGGGUAUUUAGAUGAACACACAUCUGAGCCAGGCUGAUUUGGGGACAGCCGGGUGCCACUACAUCCAUUCCACAGAGUUUUUCACUCUGAGUUUAAAUCCAUGAAGCUGAGCUGGAGGCUGCAGGUGUUGGAAACAUCAGGAAUGCUGCUGGAUCACCAAAUCCAGUCUAGGAACCCCAAAAGCUCCCGAUUUCCCCAAGGCCAAGGCAUGUCCCCAGCCAGAGCCUCCAGCUCCAGCUGAGCUUUCAUGUGUCUGUUCUUGGCCAGAAGUUCUAACGAAGCGUAAUUACUGUGAUGAUCUCGCACUAAUUGUACUCUGAUUGCCAUCCUAAUUAUGCUUAAGCAUUUCACUGCUCUCUGCAAUUUUGUCUAUUGAUGUAUCGCUUCUCCUUCAUUUCAAUUAUUCCCGCGCUAUUCAGAUUUUAUUGGGGCCCUGGAAUUUAAACGCUCAUUUGGCAACUUCCUUUCAAAGGGAUUGAAGUUUUUAUCUGGAAAUGAAAGGCGGGCGUUCUGUUUUCAUUCUCCAGCUGGAGAUGUGAAUGCAGGGCUGGAGAUGGCUCUGCCUGACUGUGGCUUCUCCAAUAUGAAUUUUGGAGAGGUGACAGCACCAGAGGGACACUGGCACUCCAGAGGACGGGGAAAUCAGGGGGGCUUUCUUAUUGAAAACCAUGGUGUACA